AGCGAACGCUGGCGGCAGGCCUAACACAUGCAAGUCGAACGGAUCCUUCGGGAUUAGUGGCGGACGGGUGAGUAACACGUGGGAACGUGCCCUUUGGUUCGGAACAACUCAGGGAAACUUGAGCUAAUACCGGAUGUGCCCUUCGGGGAAAGAUUUAUCGCCAUUGGAGCGGCCCGCGUCUGAUUAGCUAGUUGGUGAGGUAAAGGCUCACCAAGGCGACGAUCAGUAGCUGGUCUGAGAGGAUGAUCAGCCACAUUGGGACUGAGACACGGCCCAAACUCCUACGGGAGGCAGCAGUGGGGAAUCUUGCGCAAUGGGGCGAAAGCCUGACGCAGCCAUGCCGCGUGAAUGAUGAAGGUCUUAGGAUUGUAAAAUUCUUUCACCGGGGGACGAUAAUGACGGUACCCGGAGAAGAAGCCCCGGCUAACUUCGUGCCAGCAGCCGCGGUAAU
rnacentral:rRNA from 1 species